rnacentral:rRNA from 1 species
CAGCAGCCACGGUAACACCAGCAGCCCAAGUGGUGGUCGCGCUUAUUGGGCCUAAAGCGCUCGUAGCCUGGCCGGUAAGUUCCCCGUGAAAUCGGGUCGCCCAACGAUUCGGCUUGCGGGGAAUACUGUCGGUCUUGGGGCCGGGAGACGCCGAGGGUACUCCGGGGGUAGCGGUGAAAUGCUGUAAUCCUCGGGGGACUACCAGUGGCGAAGGCGCUCGGCGAUAACGGGCCUGACGGUGAGGGGCGAAAGCUGGGGGCGCGAACGGGAUUAGAUACCCCUGUAGUCCCUGUCUCUUAUU